UAGGGAGUGUGGGCCGUUUUGUGAAUGGGUUGCCAGGCUGCCUACUGCAGACACCGCCGGGAGCAGAACCCAAGUCGGCCUCCACCUGCAGCCGGUACCCGUGGAGGAUACAGACGAGGUGUCUGCGAUGCGGACCCAGCCGGCGGUGCCUGCCUCGUGGAAUGUGCGGCUCUUCGUCAGCAAGGCUGCAUUCAGCCUUCUCUUCGUCAGCAAGGCUGCAUUCAGCCUUCAUUGCUGUCAGCUCCGUGGCAGCUACAUCCUGGGCUCCUGAAGACUCAGGCGAGGGCAUGGCUUCUCAUCCUCCUCGUCUUCAUCUCCACCAUCCAUCUGUCCUGUGCCUUGCAGUCCAGCUCAGGUGCAGAGGCCAAGACCGUUUUGCCCAAGAAGGAGAAAAUGAAGCUAAGGCGUGAGCAGUGGUUGCAGAAAAUCGAAGCCAUAAAACUGGCUGAGCAGAAGCACAGGGAGGAGCGGAGGCGGAGGGCCACGGUGGUGGUGGGGGACCUGCACCCGCUCAGGGACGCCCUGCCCGAGCUGCUGGGGCUCAAGGCUAGCAGCCGGCGCCAAGCCCACAGCAGGGAGAGGGAGAGCAACAAGCCCCGGCCCUCAGAGCUCAGCCGGAUGAGCACAGCCCAGAGACAGCAGCUUCUUGAGGAAGAAAGGACCCGGUUUCGGGAGCUGCUGGCUAGUCCGGCCUACAGAGCCAGACCCCUGGUGGCGAUCGGGCAGACGCUGGCCCGGCAGAUGCAGCUGGAAGGUGGCGGCGAGCUCUGACCAGGGCAGUGGGCGUGCCCCAACUCCUCAGGACACACGUGUGGGCCAGAUGCAGAGGCGCCUGGGGCCUGAGAGUCCCUGCAAGGUCGUGGAGCACAGGCCUCAUCUCCCGGUGGCCCGAGCCACUUAGGACAAAAAGCCCUGGAGCCCUGAGUGGGGAAACUGAGGCCUGCGAGGAGAGAGCCUCCCUCCCCAGCCAGCCAGGUGAUGGGCGCUGACAUUCAGGAGCACGGAGCUUCCGGCUGUCCCCUCCAUUCUCAAGAAGAAUGUGAGCGCCAUCCCAGCCCGGCCGUCAGUAACAUUCCAGGAGCUUUAGGAGAGCGUCUCCCUUGCCAGUCAAGAGCCAGGCUCCACACACCUCAGUCCGGAAGGACUGCUCAGCCUUGGGCUAAAAAAGGGAAAAACCGCAAGCAGACAGCGUCCACAGCCGCGUCUCCAGGCCACGGCAGGCACCAGCAAGGCAGCUGCGAAUGGGAAGGGCAGAGGCGGCCAGAAGCUCAUGCCCUCACUGAUGCCAGCCCUGGCUGUGCUUUCCAAAAAUUAUCCCACUCAGCUCCCUGAGUCCCACGGAUCAGGCGUCCUUAGCCUGCUGUGGGGAGGGUAGGGGAGACUGAGACACAGAAGGCCAGGCCCCCCAGGCAUGGAGCACAGCCCACGACCCGGAGCCAUGGAGUCACCCAGGCUGCACAGCUGGCGAGAGCAGCCCCAGAUGUGGCGGAGCCUCUGGGUUCAAGGCCACAGUUCCUGCUGCACCCCCGACCCUGGGCCUGCCAUGGAAGGUGUGGCCCCUGGGGAAUGGGCAGAGCAGGGUCUGUGUACAGGGUUCCUUGCCGGGCACGUGGCCAGCACUGCAGGAGCCGGCAUUGUGGCAGCCCGGACGCCCUGACCCCGUGUAGACGUUUUUGGUGCAGCCCCGCCCAUGUGGUCUUAGGGUGACCGUGUGACCACAGCCCACGGCAGGCACAAGGGAGGCCACUUCCAGACCUGGGGGUUAGACUGUGGCUUCUGGCACCUGGAGGAGACUUGGCAGCCUGGGGGUGCCACAUGGUCAGGGACUGCGGCCUCCCCACAGCCCUGUGAGCCCCGUCCGGGACGUGGGACUGCCUGUGGCUGUCACCUGAGCCGCAGCCACCAGCCACCAGCCACGCUGCCCCAGAAAUGGGGGAGCUAACACGUGGAGGCCUUUUUAAGCUGCUAAGUUUUGGGGUUAUUUGCUACACAGCUAUAGGUGUCUGAUAUGCCGUGGGGUGUGCCCUGAAUGUGGGGUCUGGUUGGCCCUAGGUUAGUGUCAAGCUUUGGGCAGCCAGGGCACCAAAGCCCCCACCCCUGCCGACUGUGGCCGUGCACCUGCAGGACCAGUUCCACUGCUGUGUGGGCCUCGCCUCUGGACAUGGGCCCCAGGACCCUGCCACUGAGGCUGGCCUGGCUCCGUGUCCUCCCACCCACUCCCGUUCAGUGCUGCUGGGCACCGUGCCGUCUGCUGCCCACCAGGACCCGGCUCCUGGCAGGCCUGAGCCCCCUCCCCAUCUCCCUCCCCCUCCCUGAUCCCCCCUGGGCCCAGCCUGCUGAGGGUGACUCUUCUUCACACCCAGACUCUGGGCUCCGGUUCCUCACCCCGUCCCUGGGACUUCCUGCUGGUCACAUUGUCCUUCCAGCAGUGCCCCCAACACACAUGGCCAUUCCUGGGGAGUCUUCCAGGCAGCCCUGCCCACCAUCUCCACACACCUCCUUCCCACCUGCUCACCUCAAGGUCCUGUUCCCAGCAUAUGGCUCUGCUGCUGGCCUGGGAGGAGACCUGACGCCUCCAGGGCCACUGUCAGCCUCCCGGGGACACACUGCUGCCGGCCUCGCUUUGGAGUCUACCCCUGUCCUGUCCCCACCUGCCCCGUCCCCACCUGUCCUGUCCCCACCUGCACCAUCCCCCCACCUGUCCUGAUUCUGGUGAGCCUGUCAGGUGACAAACCCUGGUCGUCUCCUCCAUGGGGCACCUGGUGAAGCUGAGGGAGGACUCUGGAGCUGGGACUUAGUUUCCCCUCCUAGGGGCCACGAACUGGUCUGGAUGUUACAGUCAUGGGGCUGCUGAGGGAGGACAGGUUGAGGGCACCAUCUAGGGUGAGUCUUGGUCGGCUGGCAGAGGGCUGGCCCAGGGAGCCCCAUCCCUCCCUGAGGGCCCCACCUGCCCAGUACCGUGGCCCGUGGCCCAGGUUUGGCCUGCCCACCAGAUCCAGUCCUUUGGCACCCGUGUCCCUAGGGCCCUGGGCUGUGAGGAGGCGUGAAGGGGAAGGAAGGACAUUUGGGGGGGGGGGCUGUCACACACAGGAGCAUCGCUGUUGAAGGUUUCCUAUAAAUGCAGCUGUGUUCAUGCAUGUUCUAAAUGGAACUGCCAGCUGGCUUUUGGUUUGUGAGUCUUCAUUAAAGAUUACAUUUCUGUUCA